rnacentral:misc_RNA from 1 species
AAGAAGUCAAAACUCUUCCUAUCUGAAUGCAUUCGUGCUUGUUAAUUGCUUUUUGCCUCAAAUGUUGGAGUAUAUCUCUUGCUAUGUUCAGAUUGUAUUUUUUGUGUUGCUGUCUUUCCACAAAAGUAUUUUGGUCUUAAAAUAGAAAAUUAGUAGAAAGAUUCUGGGGUUUGUAUCUGGAGCCGAGGGUCCGUCGGAAAUAGCCUCUCUACCUCCAUGGAGUAGUGGUAAGGUCUGCGUACAUUCUACCAUGUCCAGACCUCACUUGUGGGAUUUCACUAGGUAU